rnacentral:rRNA from 1 species
CAGGACGAACGCUGGCGGCGUGCCUAACACAUGCAAGUCGAGCGGAGUUAACAAGAGGAAGUUUCGGAUGGAAUUUGUUAAUUAGCGGCGGACGGGUGAGUAACGCGUGAGCGACCAACCUUGCACAGGGGGAUAACGGACCGAAAGGUUCACUAAUACCGCAUGAGACCACGGUGUUGCAUGACACAGAGGUCAAAGGAGCAAUCCGGUGCAAGACGGGCUCGCGUCCGAUUAGGUAGUUGGUGGGGUAAUGGCCCACCAAGCCUAUGAUCGGUAGCCGACCUGAGAGGGUGAUCGGCCACAUUGGAACUGAGAUACGGUCCAAACUCCUACGGGAGGCAGCAGUGGGGAAUAUUGGGCAAAUGGGGGAAACCCUGACCCAGCAACGCCGCGUGAAGGAAGAAGGUUUUCGGAUUGUAAACUUCUGUCCUUGGUGAAGAGAAGAAGACGGUAGCCAAGGAGGAAGCCCCGGCUAACUACGUGCCAGCAGCGGC